rnacentral:tRNA from 1 species
GGUUCCGUAGUGUAGUGGUUAUCACGUUCGCUUCACAAGCGAAAGGUUUCCGGUUCGAUCCCGACGGUGAACCA